rnacentral:tRNA from 1 species
GGAUUGUGGCUCAGCGGUAGAGUGCUCGCCUAGCAUGUGCAAGGAGGUGGGUUCAAUCCUCAGCACCA